GUCAAGUUCUGAGUAAGACAUUAUUUUAUCAUUCUCAUCAUCCCCUUUUACAAAUGAAAAAACAGAAGAUCCAAAGGAUUUAUUAAGUUGACACUGAUGCUGUGCUUCUUCCACUAUGUAAUUUUAAGAUUGGUUCAACACUUAUCAUUGAAUCAGGAUCAUACUGGAUGUUUAGUAAUUACCUACCCAGUUAAUAGAUAUGAUAAAAAAAUACCUGUUAUCACAUCACUUAUUUUUUUAGUUAUUCUUGAAGAAAUAGACAAUCAAAGUUUUUGAAGUCCUGAUACAUGCUAUAUAGCAUGGAUGAGCCUCGAAAAAAAAUGAAAGAAGCUAGUCACAAAUGACUAUGUAUUAUAUAAUUUCAUUUACCUAAAAUGUUAGAAUAGGCAGAUCUAGAGAUAGAAAGUAGAUCAGUAUUUGUCUAGAAGUUGGGAGGAUAUGGGAAUUAUGAUUAACAGAUACAUAAUUUAUUUGGGGGAUGAUGAAAAUGUUCUAAUACUGAUUGCGGUAAUGAUUCUGUAGGGAGGCAACAGAUAAAAGCUAGAGCUUAAAAAAAAAAUUUCUAAGGGACUGGAACAUAAAUGAAGCCUUCAAUUGUGGGCCAAUCAGUGCACUGCAUGAUGUGACCCAAAACUUUCCCAAGAUCCCAUUUUCUCUUCUGGAACAUGGACUAAUAAUAACCUAUCCUAUGAUAUUUCUUCACAGUUAACAAGCAAAAAUGGAUGCAAACAACAAACACAGAAUUUUAAGUUAUAAAAUACUUUACAAAUGAGACUUAAUUAUUUCCUGUCCAUAUACAGAAUUUCAGAAAGAAUAUAAACACUUUAGGUAGGGCAAGCAUAACCUGAGGGAGAGAAAGCAUCAAAAUGCUAAUCCCCAAAUUGAAAUUUUUAGAGCUGCAUAUUUGCAUAUAGCCUGAAAUCCCUUCGAAAAUAGCUAGACAACAUUUAGUUACUUUUAAAAACCACAUAUUGAGUUGUUAUUAAUUUAUUAUACAUGAGGAAGUGUUUUCCUUUUAAAAAGUUUUCUUCUCCAUUGUGCCAAAGGCACCAGUAGAAAAUUUAGAGAGUUUUAUAUUCCAUAGAAUAUGCAUAGCGGUAUCAAUAAUAAAUAGCAUUUUCCGCAGUAUAGAGUGUGAGCCACUUGCUCAGAGAGCAGUCACUCAGUCUUAUUGAGCUAAAAAUACCUCAGUGACAAAUCUCAGGAAAGAAGGAAAAAGAAGAAAAUUCUGUGUUCAUUACCCAAGGGGUAGAAAUUUGCCUGAAUGGUCCACACUGUUCUUAUUAUUCCUUCUCAGUAAUGCUGAGCAUGCAACCCCCAACAUGUUCUAGUACACAGUGCUAUGACCCACUGCUUCCCCAGAGCAGGGCAUCUUUCAUUCUCAUAACAGAGUGACUUUCCCCUGCCACUUAUCUUUCAAGAAAAAUCUUGAACAGUCCUGGUAACUAAAGACAUAAAAGUUUAUUAAUAAGAUGAAGAGCUUAUUGUAUGAACAAAUGCAUGAGAUUUUUUUUUUAACCUUGGUAAGUCACAGCAUACGAUGGCAUUCCUAUGUGUUGAGUGUCUGCUCCAAUUAGGGUUUGUCUGAGUGCAGGAACAAGCUAAGUGGAUUAGUGUCUCAAUGGCAUAUCCCCAUAGCAUGUUGGCCUUUACACAAGAAUAACCAAAGAAAAAGGAAAGUAAUAGGAGACCAUAGAACAUUGAAUCAUGAAACUAAAUGAAACCUAAUUGAGGAACCAGUCAGAAAAAGAAAAUUCUGUAAAAAUAAGAAGUAAAUGACAUUUAAUGAUUCUAAGAUGUGAUGAACAUAGAAUUAUACCUUCUUUUAUGGUAUUUGUAUAACCUAUGGUGUAUGGAUUAUUGACAGAUUAUAAAAAUCAGCUAAAACCUGCAGAUUUUAAUCUGAAUUUGAAGGGUUAGUAUACGAAGUUCUAACAGCAGGUAAGGGAAAAUGUAUCUUUGGGACAAUAAAAAAUUAAGUGCUUCAAGUGCCAUAACCUUCAAAUCUUAUAUGAAAAUCUACUGAUCCAGUGUGGCCGCUGGAGCAGAUAAAAUCAACACAAUGAUCUUUCCAGAUAAGUUUUAAAUAUCUGAGCUAAGAAGAGAGAGGAAUAAAUUCAUGAGGCUAUAACAUAAAGAAUUAGGGGUUAUAUACCUUAUAAAUUGGUGAGAUGUCUGAUUGUGAUGGGAGUAAAUUAGCACCUAAAGCACUGGAAUUUAAUUCUUGCCUCAGCAACUCUUUAUUGGGUAACCUUGGAAAAAUCCCUUUAUUUGAACUUCAGUUUUCAACUGUAUAAAAAGGUGGUGAUAACUGCAUUGUCUACUUCAGAAUGUUAUUGACAAAAUGACCUCAGAAAGUACAUAGAAAAUUUUAUCACAAAUAGUUUUACAUUAUGUGUGCAAAGUAUUAAUGGUGAUUUCAUGCAUAUGUUGUGUCCGUAAGAGUAAAUAUUAGUUAUUCCUAUUUCCAAAUUAAUUCCUAUUUCCAAAUGGAUUUAAUUCCACUCAUGUCUUGUGAAAUCUCUAAGAAUUAGAUAAGGGGAUUUAUGGAUGCACUGAACUAUCACUCUGAGAGAGAAAAACAUUCAUACAAAGUUGACUUCUAACCUCAGCUCCAAUCUGUUUAAAAUUACAGGUAGAGUUUUUGUCUUUGUUGAAAAAUGAGAUGACUAUUUUUCUAUUUUGUAUCACAUGCUGCAUUUUUUUAAGGAGAAAUUCUGAAUGUUGGUGGGCAGAAGAAUGUGUACUAGCAAAUAGCACCAAAAAAACCCAUUUAAUAAUAUUCUAAUUAACCUUAAAAAUUCUCAACUAUCAUUAAUGUGAAACUGGACAGUACCUGUCUUCAUCAGCAUCUAAUUUUUAUGUCACCUUCUAGAAACC
rnacentral:lncRNA from 1 species